rnacentral:rRNA from 1 species
UGUGAGUAGAGUGGCGGACGGGUGAGUAACGCGUGGGAAUCUACCUAGUAGUGGAGGAUAACUCGGGGAAACUCGAGCUAAUACUGCAUACGCCCUACGGGGGAAAGCGGGGGAUCUUCGGACCUCGCGCUAUUGGAUGAGCCCGCGUUAGAUUAGCUUGUUGGUGAGGUAAUGGCUCACCAAGGCGACGAUCUAUAGCUGGUCUGAGAGGAUGAUCAGCCACAUUGGGACUGAGACACGGCCCAAACUCCUACGGGAGGCAGCAGUGGGGAAUAUUGCGCAAUGGGCGAAAGCCUGACGCAGCCAUGCCGCGUGUGUGAAGAAGGCCUUCGGGUUGUAAAGCACUUUCAAUAGGGAGGAAAGGUUGUAGCUUAAUACGCUGCAACUGUGACGUUACCUAUAGAAGAAGCACCGGCUAACUCCGUGCCAGCAGCCGCGGUAAUACGGAGGGUGCGAGCGUUAAUCGGAAUUACUGGGCGUAAAGCGCGCGUAGGCGGCUUCGUCAGUCAGAUGUGAAAGCCCCGGGCUCAACCUGGGAACUGCAUUUGAUACUGCGGAGCUAGAGUAUGGUAGAGGAUAGUGGAAUUCCAGGUGUAGCGGUGAAAUGCGUAGAUAUCUGGAGGAACAUCAGUGGCGAAGGCGACUGUCUGGACCAAUACUGACGCUGAGGUGCGAAAGCGUGGGGAGCAAACAGGAUUAGAUACCCUGGUAGUCCACGCCGUAAACGAUGUCUACUAGC